rnacentral:lncRNA from 1 species
CAUAAGAGUGAAGGGUAGUGAACUUGGCUUAAUUGCAAGUUUGCCACUCAAAUGUGAGGUGGUAUAAAUGCAUCUUUAUAGCCAUUUCAUCAUUAGGGUUUUCUUUGAGGAAAUUGGAGAGAACACAAGCUCUCCUUUUCUCUCUAAGAGGCCGCCACCCUAGGGAGAAAUUACUAGCAUCUAUUUCUUCCUAGGUCAAUCAUCUCUUCCUCAAUGCUCUCCUUGGUGUGGAGACUUAGAGGUUCCCUAUUUUGGGAACUUGGAGAAUCCAUUCUUUCAUCCAUCCAAGAAGUCAUGGAGCCAAGAAGCAAAGUUCCUUCAUCCACAUCCAUGGAGUCAAGGAGUAAGGAGACUAAGGAAAGAAGGCCCUCACAUGGGUAAAUAUCCUUUGCCAAGCAAAUAGGCACUUCAAAGUUAUAAAAGUUUCUCAACUCCUUUCUUUAAGAUUUGAGUUGAGUCUUGGUUCACCACAAUUACUAGGCCUUAAAUUUCAUGAGUAAAGUUUUGUUUUAGAGUGCAUACAAGCAUGAAUCCGCCUUUUAAUUGUUAAUUGCAUGCAUAGAUGUUGUUCAAAUGAACUAGUUUUUACAAAUAUUUCACUUCAUGCUUGGCAUUCUCAUAUGGACUAUAUAGUUAUAUUAGGUCUUAAGAUGAUUAUGAACCAUUUGAAUUGAUCCAACACAAGCCUUGUGUUGGACCUUUGGUUUAGGGAGGGUAGUUGAUUUUAAUUACACGUUUAAUUCAAGUACACCGUUAUUUCAUAUUGGGCGUUGGACCGAACUAUUCCAAUUUGCAUACAAAUAAACAAUAAAGGAAUAUAUGGAAUAAAGAGAAGGGCUUAUGCCUUUUUAGAUCACAUUUGAUCUAAUCAAAUUACAUUCAAAUCUAAUCUACACAUCUCAUUCAUUCAUAAUGUAAAGCGCCAAAUCACAUAACUCAAUUAUCGUAGGUCUUUGGUUCAUAAUCAUCCCGUAUCAAAACUAAUUACAUUAACUAAGAAUCAACUUAAACAAUUGGUUCUUAAAUCUAUAGAGUUUAUUUAAAUGGAGCUAAAUGAAAUGAAAAUCAAAUUCUCAUUAAAGAGACAAAAAUAUUUUGUGCUCUAGCUAAUUUGGGCCUAAAUGUAAUAACCUCAACUAUUGGGCAUUAUGCAAAAUACCAACUUUUGGGGUCACUUUGUAAAACACAAGAGUCCACAACUUCAUGUAAUUACAAUUAGAACCCAAAAAUUUCAAUAGUUACCAAACCUCCAUUAAAGGAACAAAACAAUUUGUCCUUUAGUGAUUUUAGGCCUUUAUGUAAAAACAUAGAAUUUUGGGUCAAAAUGCAAAUACACAAAAGUAUCAAAACAUUAUAUAAUUGCAAAAAAAAUCCAAAAGUACCCUACUUUGUAAGGUGGCCCAAUUUUGGGUAGUGUAAAGGAGGGGUUGGCUAUUGGUGAAAAUUCAAAAUUUUAAAGUGUGUUGAAAAUGUGAUAGGUAUGGUGUUGAUUGAAAAGUACAAAUCAAGUCACACCAACCAUGACAAACAAUACUUUAGGUAAACAACCAAAAGCUUUAAAUCAAAACACUAAACUUUUGGUUCUUGGUAUGAACAUCAAGAACAAAGUAAGGAUAUUGAAGAACGUCCAUGAAAACCAGAAUAGCUCCAUGAAUGCUUUCACUCAACAAAACUCAAAAUUACACUACUCAAAAGAGGGUUAACAUACUAGGUUACUUAGGGGUUCCUAAUGUCACUUUAAAACUCUUUUAGUAAGACAAACAUGAACCCAAAAAUCCACACAUGGAUUUGGUCGAACUUCCCCAUAAACAAGAUACCCAAUUUUAGCUCCAAAAUUCAUGCUUAAAUGAACUACAUCUACAACUUUUGAGAUGACAAAUUUUCAAACAAAAUUUACAUUCAAAGAAGCAAGAACAAAAUUUGUAACAAUUACAACAUUCAAAUCAUAAACUAUGAAAAUACAAAAUAUAAAUGGAUUCACCAAACCCUAGAUCUAGGCCUCUAAUACCACUUGAAGACAAAUUAUUGACUAUGUAGAGAUUGUUGUAGCAACACAUGCAUUUAUUAACAAUUAAAAUUAAAGCAUGAACUCAAUAACAAAUUUGAGUCCCAUGAAAUUCAAGACCUAGUGAAUGGUAAAGAACCAAGACUCUUUCCAUAAAAGGAAAGAAGAAAGAUUGAGCAUUCAUACCCUUGAAGCUCUUCCUUCUUUUCAGAAGGUUAUCACCCAUGUGAAGGUUUUCAUUCCUCUUCAUAUGCUCCAUGGAUUUGGCUCCUAGAAUCCUUGGAACUUUGCUUCUUGCUUGCUCCUUUGCUUCUCGAAGAUUUAGUGAAAGGAUUUUCCAAGCACUAAAAAGAUGGAUUGGGUAACCAUGACAUACUGCUAGGUGUUACUCAUGUUUUGUGGAAGCCUUGAAGAUUAACAAUCACUAAUCUUCAUCACAUGGAGAAUUGAAAUUAAGUUUCAAUUCACAAUCGAUUAGUAAGAGUACAAUCAUCCACUGCCUCGCUAAUUGGAACCUAACAGAUCGUACACCGUGUAUGAGUGUGAAGAACUAUUAAUGAGAUGGAUAAGUUAAUUUAAAUAGUUUAAUUGAUAAUAGUCAAUAUUGAUUAAAUAGUUAAUUAAUCAUACGAAAGGUUCAUAUUAGGUUUUAAAUUAGUUUCAGCUUUCGAGGCCCAGUGGGCUUUGGUCCAAAGGCCCAUUAGGCUUAAGUUGUAUGACAACUUAAACAAAAUGGGGCAAACAACCCAAUGACUAUAGGGAGCCAUCCUUGGAAGGCUUUGUACUUAAUUUCACUUAUACCAUUCAUUUGUGAGGUGGUAUAAAAGUGACUUUAUAGACAAAAACUCAUUAGGGUUCUUUGAGGGCAAAAUUUGGAGGCAGUUUCUCUCUUCUUUCUCUCUUAAAUAGUCGGCCCUAUAGGGGAGUUUUUUCUAGUAUCUAAAGCUUCCCUUGAGUCUUCCAUCUUGUCUUCACAUAUCUACCUUGGUGUGGACCUCGAAAGCUGCUAAGGUCGCCAAAAAUUAGGUAAGAUUCAAAUGGAUAUAACUUAUUCAAUACUCAACAAAAUUGGGUGAAACAAAAGAAAAGUUGUAGUACUCAGCAAGACGAAGAGAUUGAUAUCUAGCACACCGGCCAACUCACCGUGGUUUGGCUGGAAAUUAGCUCGAAAGCCGUCAGACUCGCUGGUAAAACUGGGAAAACACCACCAAGUUGUUUCUUACUACAAACCUUCACCAAAACACCUAAAAUGAGUCAUUCCUAGGGUUUGAACAAUCUAAGAGAAAGAUUAGAGAGGGUUCCGAAGCUUAUUAAGGUCGAGGGAUGAAAAAU